AAAUGAAUAGACGGGGGCCCGCACAAGCAGUGGAGUAUGUGGUUUAAUUCGAAGCAACGCGAAGAACCUUACCAGGGCUUGACAUGGCGUCUAAGACUCCAGAGAUGGAGGGAUAAUAGGCGUCACAGGUGGUGCAUGGUUGUCGUCAGCUCGUGUCGUGAGAUGUUGGGUUAAGUCCCGCAACGAGCGCAACCCUUAUCAACAGUUGCUACAUUCAGUUGAGAACUCUGUUGAGACUGCCGUCGACAAGACGGAGGAAGGCGGGGAUGAGGUCAAAUCAUCAUGCCCCUUACGCCCUGGGCUACACACGUACUACAAUGGCGGUCAACAGACCGAAGCGAACUCGCGAGAGUAAGCGAAACGGAAAAAGUCGUCUCAGUUCGGAUUGCAGGCUGAAACUCGCCUGUAUGAAGUCGGAAUUGCUAGUAAUCGCGAAUCAGCAUGUCGCGGUGAAUACGUUCCCGGGCCUUGUACACACCGCCCGU
rnacentral:rRNA from 1 species